AAGACUAUACUUCACAGGAUCAUUUCUGUAGUCAGUCUUCAUUUAUUUUCAUUGCAAAAUGAAAAACACUAAAACCGCGAUGAGGAGGUGUAUCGUUUUAUCUGUAGCGUGAGGUUUUGAACUUUGCCUUUUAUUUUCAUCUUACCGAUGGAAUUAAGGCAAUGUUUCUUCGAUGAUCGCUUGGUUUACACGGAUAGAACGACUUCUGAGUGGC